GUGAGCCACUCUGAGCGGUGGGAUCCGCACCGACAGAGAGCGCGAAUAGACACACACCUGUUGCAAACUCAACGGAGUCUGACUAUUUUUUUUACGCAAAACAUUUUUGAGCUACAUUAUCAAAAACCUUUCGAGAUGUUUUGUUAAUUUUGGGCAGAAUGUUGGUUUCUGCCUUCCCGUGCUCUGUUCGAAGGUGCUUAACUAUUUGCUUAACUAACUAAAUAGCAGUUUUUUUUAGUUAACAUAUAAAUAACGACGAUAUAAUAAUGAUCUGGAUAGAGUAGACAGACUACUUUUCACAACAGUGACAUGUAGCCCACAGCAGGAAAGGAAAACUGCCUUUUUAUAUUUCGGAAAAACCUCUUCAAAAUGAAAACGGGGAAAAAAACAAACAAAUCGUCCCGACGAUGAUUAAGGACACCGAGAUAGAUAUGAAGGCUGUCGUGUUGAACGAGUUAGACCAGGGAGAACUACGGAUGACCGGCGACGGACCGGGGGCUGAGAGGAACCGGUCGAGCGUGAAGCUGGAGGUCCUAAAUGAGGCUGUCAAGUUUACCGGGCUGUCGAAGGAAGAGCUCAUGAAAGUUGCUGGCACACCAGAUCUGCUGCUAAACACAGGCUGGGUAUGGGUGUAGAUGGCGUGCAGGUGUCCGGCCUCGCUGCUGCCAGCUCCUCUCCUGAUUGGUCCAAGGUCCAGGGCGUCCUCCAGGACAACAGUACAGAACAUGAUGUGAAGAAGAGGUGACUGGAGGUCAAACACGGAGAAGUUGCAGCGAGUGUAUAAAGGCUCUUUCAAACCAGACAAACGAAUACGGAAAAAAAUACUCACACACACACACUCACACACUCACACACACUCACACACACUCACACACUCACACACUCACACACACACACACUCUCACACACACACAC